CUGCACUCAUCUGUGUGUGUGUAUUCAGUUCUAAACAAUGUCAUCACACGUACACAUGUGUAUCCACCAUCACAAUCUAGAUCUGAACAGUUGUUACCAUAAAGAUCCCUCAUGUCACCUUUUAGAAGCACCUACCAUCCUGUGACCCCCCCCAUCCCGAACCCCUGAUGGCCACCACCCUCUCCCCACUUGUACAGUUUUGCCAAUAAGCAAAUGUGAGAGAGAUGGAAUCACCCUGUGUGUGACCCCCGGCAUUGGCUUUUUCCACUCAGGGCAGUUUCCCUGGACGCAUCCACAUUGGCAUGUGUAUCAAUGGUCUGUCCCCUUUAUUGCUGAGCAGUAUUCCGCGGUCUGGACGUACCAGGGUUCGUUUUAACCGUUCACCUGCUAAAGGCUGUCCAGGCCGUUUCCAGUUUGGGGCUCUUGUGAACACAGCUGCUGUGAACAAGUGUGUGCAGGUGUCUGUGCAGACAGAAGUUUGAUUCCUCUGGAUCAACACGCGAGGGCGCAGCGGCUAGGUCGUAUGACAGUUGGAUCAACACGCGAGGGCGCAGCGGCUAGGUCGUAUGACAGUUGGAUCAACACGCGAGGGCGCAGCGGCUAGGUCGUAUGACAGUUGGAUCAACACGCGAGGGCGCAGCGGCUAGGUCGUAUGACAGUUGGAUCAACACGCGAGGGCGCAGCGGCUAGGUCGUAUGACAGUUGGAUCAACACGCGAGGGCGCAGCGGCUAGGUCGUAUGACAGUUGGAUCAACACGCGAGGGCGCAGCGGCUAGGUCGUAUGACAGUUGGAUCAACACGCGAGGGCGCAGCGGCUAGGUCGUAUGACAGUUGGUCAUUUCGUUUUAAGAAACUGCCCAUCGGUUUUCCAGAGUGGCUGUACCACUUGACAUUCCCACCAGCAACGUCUAAGACCAGCUUCUCCACAUCUUGUCACUGGCAACUUGUGUUCAUUCAUCCAACAGGAGCUUUCAUACUGAAGGGCGUACACAGCAACACACAAGUCAACAAACUGAUCAUGGCAUUACUUUGAUAAUCAGACAUGCAAAUGAGCAAUACGGCUUCACAAGGUUAAGCUCAUCCCAGGACACAGAGAGCAACAGUCCUCAUCCACGGCUGCACCCUGGAAACAUCUGAGUGAUGGAUGCACACGGCUCCUCAAAGGUACAUGAGUGGUGACGUGCGGUGGUGCCACGUCUCUGAGCUGGGAAUCUCCUUCCUGUUGACUGGAGGAAGCCGUGAUGUCCCACAGUCUGGGGUCCUGAUACACGGGAGAGGCCGGCACAGAGCGGAAGAUGCCGAGGGGCUGCGGAAAGGGCAGCAAAGAGCAGCCACUGCAAGUGAAGCCCAGAAGGAGACAAGUGAUGAGCCAAACGGGUCAUGAGACCAGCCCACCGACAGCCACGUCCAUUCUGAGGGGAGUACCAUCCUUAUCCUGGACCCAGGGCAAGGGAUGCAGAGUCUGAGAGACAACUCCGGGGCCACCAGAUCACAGACCACAGGCUGUCUUCUGGAAGGCUGCAGUGAUCCACACGUCCUCCAGCAACUUGGGAGAGCUCUUGGCUGAGCUCAUUAACGUCCUACAUUUUCCUCCUUCCAGGCUGCCCCUCCCCCACCAGUCUUCUUUCUCUGACAUGGUAUGAGCCGAGCCGAGCCACAUCAGUCUCACCUGCUCGCGGCCCGUGAGCCCUCCCAGUCUACAGCCCUUGGGCAGGCACAGGGCAAACUCCAGAGAUGCUCACUUUCCCGGCUCGGCCUGGCCAGUACCUCCCAGAAGCCCAAGAGAGAAACCCAAGCCAGGGUGGGAGCGACGUCUUCCAGGACCUGAGGGCGCAGAUGGCAGAGACAGUGGCAGGGCUGGCUCCUCACAUGCUCGCAGGGCACGCUGUUCUAAACUCACGCUGGCUGAGCUGCCCUCACAAGCCAGCAGCCCAGGGGCCCCCACACGCCCACAGCCUCUUAGCAAGGGCGAGGGAAGCCUGAAGCAGCUGCUGCCCCAGGACCUGCCCUCUCAGGAGCAAGGCCAGAGACGGCAGACAGGAGGGAACGGGCAACAAAGAACACGGGAGAGUCAAGUUCGUACAAACAAGAGGCCUUCUCGUUCACAUGCUCCGGGCCGGUCAUGCUCUAGGCUGGACCAGAACCAAAAGGCUUGCCAGCCACUGCUCCUAAGCUCCACUGUGACUCACGCGACAGGAAAACAAAGCUGACCCAGCGCAGACAGCCGGGCCCCAAGUACGGCUGCAACUCCAAAGAAACGCACCUGCCAGAGAUGAACCUGCAGAACGGACGGCACCGGGCGCGGCCAGAGGAGAAAACAGCUCAGGGGAAGGUGGGAGAGGGGACGGCGUGAAAAAAACUCUUAAAAUCGUCCGCCAGUCCACACGAUCCAGGUCCCGUGCUGCCCUCCGCAACCCACACCCUGGCCUGAGCGGAGCUCGGUGCCCAAGGCCCCAGCCUUGUUGCUGUGGCUCCCGCUUCCUGGAACACUCUUGCCCUUGACCCCUUACUGAGCCUUAAAGCUCAGUUAGCAAGGGCGCGUGCACGUAGGGGCUGGCUGGAGCGGCCUCUGAGUGCCCAUUAGCAGGGAUGGGCUGAAAAGUGUGACUCACACACACAAUGGGAUCCUUUAUGUCUCUUUGUCACUCACCCUCCACGGCAAGUCCGUUAGCGAGUUCUGUUGCCACAACCUCCAAAAUGAUCCUGAAUUCACUUCCUUCCCCAUCCUUCCUAGGCCAAGCGACCACCAUCAUUUUUCACCUGGACAGCUCCAUCAGAUCCUCUGCUGGUCUCCCCAAAUCCACUCUUGCCUUCCUAGAUUCGAUGCUCCACACACAGCCAGAGAGAUCAAAUCAAACAGGGAUCACACCAGAUUGCUUUCCUGCUUAAAAUCUCUCAACAGCUCUCGAACCUCAUCUCCUUCCACUUUACCCAUCACCCAAAUGCUCCUACUGCACUGGCUUUCUUUCCCUUCCAAGCUCAUUCCUGCCCCAGGGCCUUUGCACAUUUUACCUUUGCUCUUCUCAAGGCUGGUUUCUUCCUGCCAGUCAGGUCUCCCCAUGACUGUACACAGUGGUGAGUAGGCAUGAGACCUAACUACGCACAGUGACAGGGACGUCUCACAGACAUAAUGCUGAACAGAAAGGCCAGGCACAAAGGAGCAUUUACAUAAAGUUCAAAGUGAAAUGUCAAGAGAGUGGUUUUGCUCGGAAGGGAGGAAUGACUGGAAGGGGCAGAAAGGGGACUUUAGGGGCUGGAAAUACUGUUUUUCCGAGCUGGCUACAUGGGUGUGUUCAGGGUGUGAAUGUGCAUCUAACUACACAUCUUUGACAUGUGUGCUUGCCUUUUUCUGCAUUACAUGAUAGUUUAAUUAAAAC
rnacentral:lncRNA from 1 species